rnacentral:SRP_RNA from 1 species
GCUGGGCGUGGUGGCACACCCCUGUAGUCCCAGCAGUUUAGGAGGCUGAGACAGGAGGAUUUCGAGUUCAAAGCCAGCCUCAGCAAAAAUGUGAGGUGCUAAUAAACAGCUCAGUGAGACCCCGUCUCUA